UACGUAGGGUGCAAGCGUUAAUCGGAAUUACUGGGCGUAAAGCGUGCGCAGGCGGCUUUGCAAGACAGAUGUGAAAUCCCCGGGCUUAACCUGGGAACUGCAUUGGUGACUGGCGGGCUAGAGUAUGGCAGAGGGGGGUAGAAUUCCACGUGUAGCAGUGAAAUGCGUAGAGAUGUGGAGGAAUGCCGAUGGCGAAGGCAGCCCCCUGGGCCAAUACUGACGCUCAUGCACGAAAGCGUGGGGAGCAAACAGG
rnacentral:rRNA from 1 species